rnacentral:rRNA from 1 species
CCCUUAGAUGUUCUGGGCGGCCCGCGCACUACAUUGGCACUCUCAAUAAGUUCCUAGAUCUAAAACUUUGGGGUAUUCUAUUAAGUGGUGUCGUGACUGGGAUUAACCCUUGCAAUUAUUGGUUACGAACGAGGAAUUCCUUGUAAUCGCGGUUUAUCAGCCCGCGUUGAAUGCGUCCCUGCCCUUUGUACACACCGCCCGUCGCUCCUACCGAUGAAUCGUCCGGUGAAGUUCAUGGAGUGGUGGUUGUUCCAGUUGCUGUCGAAGUGAAAUGGACCUCACGAUUUAGAGGAAGGAGAAGUCGUAACA